rnacentral:tRNA from 1 species
UCAUACAUUUUUUUUUUUGUUUUUUUUUCAUACUGGUCCCCCGUGGGAAUCAAACCCACAACCCUGGCAUUGCAAACACCAUGCUCUACCAACUGAGCUACAGCUGGACCCCAGGAAGACUAGCUGCUGCCUUGCCUUGGCAACAGCUAAUGGGUAUCCAUAAUAAAUACAAAUACAAAGACCCAGAUGUGGAUCCACCUGUAGCUCUGCAAACAAAGAGAGCAGCAGUGCCUGGACUUUGUAGUCUCCCUCAAGUCCCCCUUCCGAGACUGGCUGCCCGUUGAGAACAAGUGACAGGCAGAACCUCCCACCAACACAGCAACCACCUACUCGCUAUUACACACACCAGAAGUCAGUAUUUCAGUCUAUGAUUGCCAAGUGAGUGUACAAAAAACUGUGAAAAUAAAUUAAUGAUAAAAC